rnacentral:rRNA from 1 species
AGCAGCCGCGGUAAUUCCAGCUCCAAUAGCGUAUAUUAAAGUUGUUGCAGUUAAAAAGCUCGUAGUUGAAUUUCGGGAUCAGUUGAUCGGUCGUGCCUCGGUACGUACUGGUCAAAUUGAUUCCUACCUUCUGACGAACCACGAUGUCAUUAAUUUGAUGUCGCGGGAAAUCAGGACUGUUACUUUGAAAAAAUUAGAGUGUUUAAAGCAGGCUCGCGCUUGAAUACAUUAGCAUGGAAUAAUGAAAUAGGACGUUUGAUUCUAUUUUGAUUGGUUUCUAGGAUCGACGUAAUGAUUAAUAGGGAUAGUUGGGGGCAUUAGUAUUCAAUUGUCAGAGGUGAAAUUCUUGGAUCUAUUGAAGACUAACUACUGCGAAAGCAUUUGCCAAGGAUGUUUUCAUUAAUCAAGAACGAAAGUUAGGGGAUCGAAGACGAUCAGAUACCGUCGUAGUCUUAACCAUAAACUAUGCCGACUAGGGAUCGGAUGAUGUUAAUUUUUUCAAUGACUCAUUCGGCGCCUU